CAUGGGAGGCUGGUAACUUCCCAAGUUCUCCCCCUGACUCUUCGCCUCCUGAUCAUAAUGACGAAACGCAAAGGAAUGAACGCUGUUCGUAUCACGAUAAAGAUCUUACCUACAUACAUGCACAGGCACCUUCCGACUGUAUACAUCCCCAGUCUGAAACUGGUAGCGGUCAGCUCCUCCAGAACAUCACCAAAAAAGGAAAAAAAGAAAAAAAGGCCUGCACGAUGACAAUCGGGUCAACCAGCGGUGAUAAGAAGAAAAAUAAAAAGUUGGCCGUAUUCCUCUCAAUCCCAUCUUCCGACCCACGCCGGAUUUACAAGGAUUGGUAGAAGCAACAAAAUCCACCUCCAAAUUUUUGCCAU
rnacentral:sRNA from 1 species